rnacentral:rRNA from 1 species
UGGGGAAUAUUGGACAAUGGGCGCAAGCCUGAUCCAGCCAUGCCGCGUGAGUGAUGAAGGCCUUAGGGUUGUAAAGCUCUUUUAUCCGGGAAGAUAAUGACUGUACCGGAAGAAUAAGCCCCGGCUAACUUCGUGCCAGCAGCCGCGGUAAUACGAAGGGGGCUAGCGUUGCUCGGAAUCACUGGGCGUAAAGGGCGCGUAGGCGGAUGAUUAAGUCGGAGGUGAAAGCCCAGGGCUCAACCCUGGAAUUGCCUUCGAUACUGAUCGUCUUGAGAGCGGAAGAGGUUAGUGGAACUCCGAGUGUAGAGGUGAAAUUCGUAGAUAUUCGGAAGAACACCAGUGGCGAAGGCGACUAACUGGUCCGUUUCUGACGCUGAGGCGCGAAAGCGUGGGGAUCAAA